CUACGGGUGGCACCAGUGGGGAAUAUUGCACAAUGGGGGGAACCCUGAUGCAGCAACGCCGCGUGGAGGAUGACGCAUUUCGGUGUGUAAACUCCUUUUAUAUGUCAAGAAAAUGACGGUAGCAUAUGAAUAAGCACCGGCUAACUCCGUGCCAGCAGCCGCGGUAAUACGGAGGGUGCAAGCGUUACUCGGAAUCACUGGGCGUAAAGGACGCGUAGGCGGGUUGGAAAGUCAGGUGUGAAAUCCUACAGCUUAACUGUAGAACUGCACUUGAAACUUCUAAUCUAGAGUAUGGGAGGGGGGGAUGGAAUUAGUGGUGUAGGGGUAAAAUCCGUAGAUAUCACUAGGAAUACCUAAAGCGAAGGCGAUCUCCUGGAACAUUACUGACGCUAAGGCGUGAAAGCGUGGGGAGCAAACAGGAUUAGAUACCCCGGUAGUC
rnacentral:rRNA from 1 species